rnacentral:lncRNA from 1 species
UGUCCACACUGAUCCAGGCCAGGCUGCUCACCAGAUCUUGGGCCUGUGUAACUCAGGCUUGUUAUCUCAGAGAGUCUGCCUGCCAAAUAGACCCAAGUUUAUGAAUCCAGACCCAAGGAAAUGCCUUUCCAAACCCUUCUGUGAUGCUUGCUGAUUUUAUAAAAGGGGCGUGGACGGUAACGGGAGGGAACUCAUGUUGUUGAGCAGGGAUCGUGAGAUGGAUGUGGCGCCGGACGCUGCAUACCUGAUUUCUCAUUUAAUUCUCCCACUUCCUGUGAGGUGAGCAUCGCAGUUCUUGUUUAGCAGAGGCGGCGGCUCAGGAUCAGAGUUGUUCUUUGCUGAUGUUUACACCUGUGGGAGAAGACCCAGUCAGAAUUUGAUUCCCAAUCUGUUUGAUGCCAUGAUUUUUACAUUAUUUCCCUUUGAUCUGAAUUAUAGUUUUCUUCGUUAUCAGUCAGUGAUCCAGUUUUUCCCUAGACUCCAUUCCUCAUUAAACUGUUACAUUAAAAAUGCAGUGCUUGAAAGCAGAGUCUGUGCUUGUUCUCCGUAACUUGAAGUCUAAAGUGGCUUGCUGUUCUAGUCCUCCCAUGCUUGAAUGUCUUGUCUGACAGGCCUCCUCUCUAGUUUCAGGUGCCCUUCCUAGCCGUAGGGCUAAAUGCAGUGGGUGCCUUCAUUUUGAAAAUGGAUUCCCAUGGAGGCUUUUUCUUCUCGCAGUUUGAGUUAGAAUGGUCCAGUCUGCCGUGUGUGUGUUUAGGUACAUUAAAUUUGUACUUUAAAUCUUUCUUUCAAGUUCUCGUUGACAGUGCCUUCCACUUUUCCUGAAAAAAUUGUAGAUAUAAAGAUAAUCCUUAUUGUUCCUAAAGCAGUAGGAAGCCUUUCCAACCAAGGUAUCACAUAGGCUCAGAAAAGGGUUGAGUCUGCAGCUGUACUCAAGGCUCAGCUACGGUGUUGUUCCUUUUCAGCAUAAAGUGGAAACAAGCCCGUGCUAGUGACUUUAUAAAUGUUGUCUGAGUUAAUUCUUAGAACAUUGCUUGAUGUGGGAACUGAAACCAAUAGAGGCAAAGAAACUUGUCCAGGAUUACACAGUGAGCUGAGCGGUGGCAUACAGUUUACAAACAAGGAAACUAAAGCAUGGAGAGGCUAAGUAACUUUUCUAUAUUACCUUGUAAAUGGUAGAACUGGUAUUUAAACCCAAGAAUUUCUUUUUUUUUAAUUGAAUAAAUGAUUAUUUAAAUUCUAUAGUACCUUCAUGGAACUCUGCUCAGUGUUAUGUGGUAGCCUGGAUGGGAGGGGAGUUAGAGGGAGAAUGGAUACGUGUAUAUUUAUGGCUGAGUCCCUUCACUGCUCACCUGAAACCAUCACAACAUUGUUAA